rnacentral:rRNA from 1 species
AUUGAACGCUGGCGGCAGGCUUAACACAUGCAAGUCGAGCGAGCGGCGGACGGGUGAGUAAUGUCUGGGAAACUGCCUGAUGGAGGGGGAUAACUACUGGAAACGGUAGCUAAUACCGCAUACCAUCAGAUGUGCCCAGAUGGGAUUAGCUAGUAGGUGGGGUAAUGGCUCACCUAGGCGACGAUCCCUAGCUGGUCUGAGAGGAUGACCAGCCAGAGUGAAACUUAGACACGGUCCAGACUCCUACGCGAGGCAGCAGUGUGGAAUAUUGCACAAUGGGAGCAAGCCUGAUACAGCCAUGCCGCGUGUGUGAAGAGGGCCUUCGGGUUGUAAAGCACUUUCAGCGAGGAGGCGUUACUCGCAGAAGAAGCACCGGCUAACUCAGUGCCAGCAGCCGCGAUAAUUC